rnacentral:rRNA from 1 species
ACCAACAGGGAUUGCCCUAGUAACGGCGAGUGAAGCGGCAACAGCUCAAAUUUGAAAUCUGGCCCUCGUGGUCCGAGUUGUAAUUUGUAGAGGAUGCUUUUGGUGCGGUGCCUUCCGAGUUCCCUGGAACGGGACGCCAGAGAGGGUGAGAGCCCCGUACGGUUGGACACCUACCCUAUAUAUAGCUCCUUCGACGAGUCGAGUAGUUUGGGAAUGCUGCUCUAAAUGGGAGGUAAAUUUCUUCUAAAGCUAAAUACCGGCCAGAGACCGAUAGCGCACAAGUAGAGUGAUCGAAAGAUGAAAAGCACUUUGAAAAGAGGGUUAAAUAGCACGUGAAAUUGUUGAAAGGGAAGCGUUUGCGACCAGACUUUUUCCAGGCGGAUCAUCCGGUGUUCUCACCGGUGCACUUCGCCUGGUUUAGGCCAGCAUCGGUUCUCUUAGGGGGAUAAAGGCUUGGGGAACGUAGCUCCUUCGGGAGUGUUAUAGCCCCUUGCGUAAUACCCUUCGGGGGACCGAGGAUCGCGCUCUGCAAGGAUGCUGGCGUAAUGGUCGUCAACGACCCGUCUUGAAACACGGACCAAGGAGUCGAACAUUUGUGCGAGUGUUUGGGUGUUAAACCCUCACGCGUAAUGAAAGUGAACGGAGGUGAGAGCCCUUACGGGUGCAUCAUCGACCGAUCCUGAUGUCUUCGGAUGGAUUUGAGUAAGAGCAUAACUGUUCGGACCCGAAAGAUGGUGAACUAUGCGUGGAUAGGGUGAAGCCAGAGGAAACUCUGGUGGAGGCUCGCAGCGGUUCUGACGUGCAAAUCGAUCGUCAAAUCUGCGCAUGGGGGCGAAAGACUUAUCGAACCAUCUAGUAGCUGGUUAACGGACGAAGUCCCUCCUCUAAGAUAUAGA